GUGAACUUGCAGAAGGAUCAUUG
rnacentral:rRNA from 1 species